GGAAAAACAAAUCAGCAAUCACAGAGACAAAGUAUCAACAAGACUGUUUCUCAAAGAGACAAACACCCACUCAGCAUAGUCUGUGAGAUCGGGAAGGUGACCGUUGGUCGUCCAGUUAUCCUCCAUCUGGAUGAGAGAGAUGCACAGCCUGACACCAAGGUCAAUUUUCUGGGUCGCACACCAUUGGGAAGACUGCCAACUGUCUCAGGCGUCUCUGACGUGUGAAUAUUCUUCCUCACUACAAUAUGGGCUGCAGAGUGUUUGGAAAUGGACUUGUAACCCUUUCUGUAUUGCAGAAUUAUGCCGUGAAACACCUCAAGGUGUGAAGUACCUGCUCAUGACUGUUGCUAAAAAUGCCGUCCAGGAUGAGAUACGUCCAAAACAGAGGCCACUCACACUCUAUAUUUUCAAACAGCUUGAGCUCAGCGGAC